GUAGUCCACGCAGUAAACGAUGAUAACUCGUUGUCGGCGAUACACAGUCGGUGACUAAGCGAAAGCGAUAAGUUAUCCACCUGGGGAGUACGUUCGCAAGAAUGAAACUCAAAGGAAUUGACGGGGGCCCGCACAAGCGGAGGAACAUGUGGUUUAAUUCGAUGAUACGCGAGGAACCUUACCCGGGCUUGAAAGUUACUGACGAUUCUGGAAACAGGAUUUCCCUUCGGGGCAGGAAACUAGGUGCUGCAUGGUUGUCGUCAGCUCGUGCCGUGAGGUGUCGGGUUAAGUCCCAUAACGAGCGCAACCCCUACCGUUAGUUGCCAUCAGGUCAAGCUGGGCACUCUGGC
rnacentral:rRNA from 1 species